CCUACGGGUGGCAGCAGUGGGGAAUAUUGGACAAUGGGGGCAACCCUGAUCCAGCCAUGCCGCGUGUGUGAAGAAGGCCCUCGGGUGGUAAAGCACUUUCAGUGAGGAAGAACGCCUGGUGGUUAAUACCCAUCAGGAAAGACAUCACUCACAGAAGAAGCACCGGCUAACUCCGUGCCAGCAGCCGCGGUAAUACGGAGGGUGCGAGCGUUAAUCGGAAUUACUGGGCGUAAAGCGCGCGUAGGUGGCUUGAUAAGCCGGUUGUGAAAGCCCCGGGCUCAACCUGGGAACGGCAUCCGGAACUGUCAAGCUAGAGUGCAGGAGAGGAAGGUAGAAUUCCCGGUGUAGCGGUGAAAUGCGUAGAGAUCGGGAGGAAUACCAGUGGCGAAGGCGGCCUUCUGGACUGACACUGACACUGAGGUGCGAAAGCGUGGGUAGCAAACAGGAUUAGAUACCCGAGUAGUC
rnacentral:rRNA from 1 species